CAGAAGAUGCUGGAGAAACUCGAGUUUGAACGGCGCCUGGAACUGGGGCAGCGGGAGCACGCCCAGCUCCUUCAGCAGAGCAGCAGCCAGAAGGAUGAGAUCCUUCAGACGGUCAAGGAGGAGCAGUCCCGGCUAGAGCAGGGCCUGAGUGAGCGCCAGCGCCAGCUCGACGCAGAGCGGCAGCGGCUGCAGGAACAGCUGAAGCAGACGGAACAGAACAUCUCCAGCCGGAUCCAGAAGCUGUUGCGGGACAAUCAGAGACAAAAGAAAAGCUCCGAGAUUUUGAAAUCGCUGGAAAAUGAAAGAAUAAGAAUGGAACAGUUGAUGUCCAUAACCCAGGAGGAGACUGAGAACCUGCGGCGACGUGAGGUUGCCUCCGCCAUGCAGCAGAUGCUGACUGAGAGCUGUAAGAACCGGCUCAUCCAGAUGGCCUACGAAUCUCAGAGGCAGAACUUGGUCCAGCAGGCCUGUUCCAGGUAAGCAUGGCCGAAAUGGAUGAACGAUUCCAGCAGAUUCUGUCGUGGCAGCAAAUGGAUCAGAACAAAGCCAUCAGCCAGAUCCUGCAGGAGAGCACGAUGCAGAAGGCUGCGUUCGAGGCACUCCAGGUGAAGAAAGACCUGAUGCAUCGGCAGAUCAGGAGCCAGAUUAAGCUAAUAGAAACUGAGUUAUUGCAGCUGACACAGCUGGAGUUAAAGAGGAAGUCCCUGGACACAGAGACACUCCAGGAGAUGAUCUCGGAGCAGCGCUGGGCCCUCAGCUCCCUGCUCCAGCAGCUGCUCAAAGAGAAGCAGCAGCGAGAGGAAGAGCUCCGGGAAAUCCUGACGGAGUUAGAAGCCAAAAGUGAAACCAGGCAGGAAAAUUACUGGCUGAUUCAGUAUCAACGGCUUUUGAACCAGAAGCCCUUGUCCUUGAAGCUGCAAGAAGAGGGGAUGGAGCGCCAGCUGGUGGCCCUCCUGGAGGAGCUGUCGGCUGAGCACUACCUGCCCAUCUUCGCGCACCACCGCCUCUCACUGGACCUGCUGAGCCAAAUGAGCCCCAGGGACCUGGCCAAGGUGGGUGUCUCAGAAGCUGGCCUGCAGCACGAGAUCCUCCGGAGAGUCCAGGAACUGCUGGAUGCAGCCAGGAUCCAGCCAGAGCUGAAACCACCAAUGGGUGAGGUCGUCACCCCUACGGCCCCCCAGGAGCCUCCUGAGUCUGUGAGGCCAUCCGCUCCCCCUGCAGAGCUGGAGGUGCAGGCCUCAGAGUGUGUCGUGUGCCUGGAACAGGAGGCCCAGAUGAUCUUCCUCAACUGUGGCCACGUCUGCUGCUGCCAGCAGUGCUGCCAGCCACUGCGCACCUGCCCGCUGUGCCGCCAGGACAUCGCCCAGCGCCUCCGGAUCUACCACAGCAGCUGAGUGCUGCCCGCCCACCUGGGCCUGGUCCUAGCCCUGCCUCGGCCACUGUGAGCCCCGGGCUCCUGCUCAGCCUUGCGCCAGCCAGACUCGUAUGAGGUUCCCCCCUGCCCUGGGCCCCUUCCCCGCCACCCAGGAGCCCCCAUCCUAAGCUCCAAGCACGUCUGGGCCAGGCAGAGGCGCUCCUGAUCCAUGACACCACCAGUCUGAAUGGUCCCGGGGGCUGGGGCUGGAGAGGCCGCUGCACCACCACCCGAGCCUGGGAGCCAGGGUCCCAGCCUAAUCACGGAUCUGCUGCCUCCCAGCUGUCUUGACUGAAGGCCACCGCCCCUGCAGGAGCUUGGGUCCUCAUCUGGGGGCCAUGCACAGUCCUGUCCCACUCUGCAUGUGGGAAGGGAGCAGGAGGGCCUGGCUGGGUGAGGGGAGGCCUUCCUGGGAAGGCGUGUGGUGGAGGCCUGUGCUCACAGUGGCACCAGCACCCCUGGGCCUCCCUCUCUGCUGCUCCCCAGAACCCUGGGGCCCUCCUGCUCUCCACAACUGUCCCUCCUUACCCCGUGUAGCUCGAUCCGAAGCAGGAGUGUCAGUAAACCUGUCUUCAGCGUG
rnacentral:sRNA from 1 species